UUGAAAUAAACCUGAUGAGUUGCUGCUGGCUCUCUAGGGAGCAUGUGCACACUUGUCGUUUUUAUAUUUCCACCUGUGCACCUUUUGUAGACUUGGAUAUCUUUCUGAUACAUUGUCAGGUUUGAGGAUUGACUUUCUUGGUCUGUCCUUACAUUUCCAGUCUAUGUUCCUUCAAUAUACCCCAGUUAUAGAAUGUAAUAAGUGGGCCUUUGUGCCUAUAAACCUUUAUA
rnacentral:misc_RNA from 1 species